CGGGGCGUAGCGCAGUUUGGUAGCGCGCUUGGUUCGGGACUAAGAGGCCGCAGGUUCAAGUCCUGUCGCCCCGACCA
rnacentral:tRNA from 1 species